rnacentral:rRNA from 1 species
GAUGAACGCUAGCGGCAGGCUUAACACAUGCAAGUCGAGGGGUAUAGUUCUUCGGAACUAGAGACCGGCGCACGGGUGCGUAACGCGUAUGCAAUCUACCUUUUGCAGAGGGAUAGCCCAGAGAAAUUUGGAUUAAUACCUCAUAGUAUAGUACAAUCGCAUGAUUGAACUAUUAAAGUCACAACGGCAAAAGAUGAGCAUGCGUCCCAUUAGCUAGUUGGUAAGGUAACGGCUUACCAAGGCAACGAUGGGUAGGGGUCCUGAGAGGGAGAUCCCCCACACUGGUACUGAGACACGGACCAGACUCCUACGGGAGGCAGCAGUGAGGAAUAUUGGACAAUGGGCGCAAGCCUGAUCCAGCCAUGCCGCGUGCAGGAUGACGGUCCUAUGGAUUGUAAACUGCUUUUGUACAGGAAGAAACACUCCCUCGUGAGGGAGCUUGACGGUACUGUAAGAAUAAGGAUCGGCUAACUCCGUGCCAGCCGCCGCGGUAACAC